rnacentral:rRNA from 1 species
AGCGAACGCUGGCGGCAUGCCUAACACAUGCAAGUCGAGCGCUCCCAGCAAUGGGGGAGCGGCGGACGGGUGAGUAACGCGUAGGAACGUAUCCUGAGGUGGGGGAGUAACCCUCGGGAAACGUAAGGGCGUAAUACCGCAUGAUGGCGAGAGCCCAAACGAUUUAUCGCCUUGGGAGCGGCCUGCGUCUGAUUAGCUUGUUGGUGGGGUAACGGCCUACCAAGGCGAUGAUCAGUAGCUGGUCUGAGAGGAUGAUCAGCCACACUGGGACUGAGACACGGCCCAGACUCCUACGGGAGGCAGCAGUGGGGAAUAUUGGACAAUGGGCGAAAGCCUGAUCCAGCCAUGCCGCGUGAGUGACGAAGGCCUUAGGGUUGUAAAGCUCUUUUGCCGGGGACGAUAAUGACGGUACCCGGAGAAUAAGUCCCGGCUAACUUCGUG